UAGUGCUUUUUCCAUACAGUUUCAUUUCUUCUUUGUAGAAUGGUAUGCUUUAUCUUAAAGGUCACUUGUAGGCAGCUGUUCUCGGUCAUUCAGUCCUCCUCCUCUAUCCUUCAUAUACUUCCUAGAGAUGGACCUAAUUCACAGCUCUGUAAUGGCUGGCAUGUUCAAAGUCCAGCUUCUUUUGCUGUGUUUUGAACUUAGUUAUUACUAUCUGAUUUAUAAAUGUGAAUGUUACACGUAUUCAGGACAGGAUUUUAGCUGCUAUGAACUUUGUGCACUUGAAUUUAGCUGAGUCUCAUAAUUCUAAUCCGUCUCAUAAUUCUAAACUUUAUUUCCAAAGAUAUUUUAAAGGAAUAUUUAUAAUCAUGCUUGUGAAUAUACUAUCAGAAUUUUUCUGAAUUCUCCAUAUUUCUGCUUCUUUUCUUUCUUUUUCACUUGAAUUUUAAGUCCAGGUGUCAAUCAUCAAUUCUUCUCUUAAGAUCUAAAGCUCUUUAUUUUGAUGAAAAUACAGUGGUAUUGGGAGGUUUGGCUGAUGUUCAAAAUGGGAUGGAGUCUCUUUUUUCCCUCAUCCACUUUUCACAUUGUUUUCUCCUUUCAGUAUGACUAGUAGCCAAUUGCUGUCAUCUUCCUGAUGUGGAAAGCAUGAACUGACUUUGCCCAAAGGCAUAGUUGUGUCUUUGUCAGUAGAUUGAUGUUUCUACUUUAUAAUGAACUAAAGUCACCUGAGGGUCAGUUGGUUGACUUUUGUCUGCUUGGGGCUUUUAGGGGGGAAUUUUUUGUUGUUGUUUUUGUUUUGUUUUCUUCUUUUUAUAAUGCUGAUCACUCGUGAAAACAAUGAGGAAAUGCCAUAUUUUCCUUGCUGAUUGCUGUGAUGGCAAUGAAUUCUAUCUUGUUAUAGUCUUAGUAUAAGUUUUCUUUUGCUUUUUCCAAAAACAUGUGUUGUCAGUAGCACGGGACUAGUAAUAGAAACCCAGUGUUUGAAGAAAUGAUAUAGAUGAAAGAAAAAAAACCAACACAUAACAGGCUCAUAUAGGUGGGGAGAUGACUAUGUGGCAAGGUACUAUGUUUUCAUAUCUGCCUAUUUUGAACAUAUUUUGAACAUAUUAAGCACUGACUUUAUUACUGUAAUGUAAUUUAUAUAUUGAGUAGGAAUUUUCUUGAAAUUCAGUAUAUUAGCUUUUAGUUUGUAAUUGUUAAAACUGGAAACAUACACAUAAAUAUAUCUAAAGAGCAAGAACUCACAUUGUGUAUGUAGUUGUAUGAGCUAUGAAGCUUCCUGUAAAAGUUCUUUCUUUGGUCUGUCAAAUGCUUGAUGAGAACUGCCUUUUUGUCAAAAUGAUCUUGAAAAUGCUGUAAAAUAAAUAUUUUCUAUUUAUUAUUUAAGAAUAGACUGCCAAGAUGGUUAAUUUUUGUUUCCAAAGUAGAAAACAGCCGUGUCUGCUCAUCUGUUGUUCCAGAGCAUGUCAGCAUUCUGUGAGACUGAUGGUGGGAUGUUCAAAUGGAGAAGCCCACAUCUGAGGAGUCAGUCCACCUACAUCUACUGUGCUGCGGGAGAACAGGGAAUGACAUUAUAUUUGAUGGUGUAGUUGUGUCUGUGAAGAAAUCUUGCAAAACUACUGCUCCACGGGAAGGAUCCAGUGACAGAAGUGGGGACCUUCCUCCUCUUUCUCUACUGUGGGUGAUUAUUUAUCAAUAUUGAUCUUGAACAUUAAAAGCUAUACUAAUGCAGCCUGGUACCAUCUGGCCCCACAUCUAGCAUUCUAAAAUAGGAUAUGCCCAAAGUCAGACUGCUUACUCCCCUACCACUCUGAUUUCUUUUUAGGCAUUCAUUAACAUAAAGCCUUUAAUUAUGUCACCACUUAACCGGCUGCUUUGUAGAGGAUCUCUCUAU
rnacentral:lncRNA from 7 species